rnacentral:rRNA from 1 species
GACGGAAAGACCCCGUGAACCUUUACUAUAGCUUGACACUGAACAUUGAGCCUUGAUGUGUAGGAUAGGUGGGAGGCUUUGAAGUGUGGACGCCAGUCUGCAUGGAGCCGACCUUGAAAUACCACCCUUUAAUGUUUGAUGUUCUAACGUUGACCCGUGAUCCGGGUUGCGGACAGUGUCUGGUGGGUAGUUUGACUGGGGCGGUCUCCUCCUAAAGAGUAACGGAGGAGCACGAAGG